AGUGAACGCUGGCGGUAGGCCUAACACAUGCAAGUCGAACGGCAGCACAGUAAGAGCUUGCUCUUACGGGUGGCGAGUGGCGGACGGGUGAGGAAUACAUCGGCAUCUACUUUUUCGUGGGGGAUAACGUAGGGAAACUUACGCUACUACCGCAUACGACCUACGGGUGAAAGCAGGGGAUCUUCGCACCUUGCGCGAUUGAAUGAGCCGAUGUCGGAUUAGCUAGUUGGCGGGGUAAAGGCCCACCAAGGCGACGAUGCGUAGCUGGUCUGAGAGGAUGAUCGGCCACACUGGAACUGAGACACGGUCCAGACUCCUACGGGAGGCAGCAGUAGGGAAUAUUGGACAAUGGGCGCAAGCCUGAUCCAGCCAUACCGCGUGAGUGAAGAAGGCCUUCGGGUUGUAAAGCCCUUUUGUUGGGAAAGAAAAGCAGCAGGUUAAUACCCCGCUGUUCUGACGGUACCCAAAGAAUAAGCACCGGCUAACUUCGUG
rnacentral:rRNA from 1 species